CCGAAACCAGGUGAUCUACCCUUGGUCAGGUUGAAGUUCAGGUAACACUGAAUGGAGGACCGAACCGACUUACGUUGAAAAGUGAGCGGAUGAACUGAGGGUAGCGGAGAAAUUCCAAUCGAACCUGGAGAUAGCUGGUUCUCUCCGAAAUAGCUUUAGGGCUAGCCUCAAGUGAUGAUUAUUGGAGGUAGAGCACUGUUUGGACGAGGGGCCCCUCUCGGGUUACCGAAUUCAGACAAACUCCGAAUGCCAAUUAAUUUAACUUGGGAGUCAGAACAUGGGUGAUAAGGUCCGUGUUCGAAAGGGAAACAGCCCAGACCACCAGCUAAGGUCCCAAAAUAUAUGUUAAGUGGAAAAGGAUGUGGCGUUGCCCAGACAACUAGGAUGUUGGCUUAGAAGCAGCCAUCAUUUAAAGAGUGCGUAAUAGCUCACUAGUCGAGUGACACUGCGCCGAAAAUGUACCGGGGCUAAACAUAUUACCGAAGCUGUGGAUUGUCCUUUGGACAAUGGUAGGAGAGCGUUCUAAGGGCGUUGAAGCAUGAUCGUAAGGACAUGUGGAGCGCUUAGAAGUGAGAAUGCCGGUGUGAGUAGCGAAAGACGGGUGAGAAUCCCGUCCACCGAUUGACUAAGGUUUCCAGAGGAAGGCUCGUCCGCUCUGGGUUAGUCGGGUCCUAAGCUGAGGCCGACAGGCGUAGGCGAUGGAUAACAGGUUGAUAUUCCUGUACCACCUAUAAUCGUUUUAAUCGAUGGGGGGACGCAGUAGGAUAGGCGAAGCGUG
rnacentral:rRNA from 1 species